UUAACUCAAAAGCUUAAGUCAAUAGAUCACAGUAAAAUAAUCUUAUACCUAUACUUUAAUACUCCCCUACUUGUGGACUUGAAAAUUUACACAAUACUUGACAAGUAUAAAUAUUAAUUGGAAAUGGAUUUUUCAAUUUGAUCGCCUGCUCUUUUUAAGAGAAUAAAAGUAUUUUAUUAUGUUCAAAUAUGUGAAACUUCUUCUUCUUUUUUUUUUUUUUUUUUUUUAUAAGAGAUAAUUUCAUUGAUGAAUGAAAUUACAAAAGAGAAGGGAAAGAAGCCCCAACAACAAAAGAGUUAUAAAAGACAUCUCCAAUUGGUCAAAAGAGUAUCAAAACUAUAACAAUUGAAUUGCUUAGAUAAUUUACACCAAGAGAGAAAUGCUAAUCACAUGAUCAAAAAAGAGGUCGAAAUGUUGGGUUUUGUUGUUGAAGAGACGAUUGAUCUGUUCAAACCAGACCUAUCAAAGGAAAACCCUAACAAUAUUUUUCCAAAGAAGACCUUUUCUCCCCUUGAAAGGAUGAUCAUCAAUAACAAGGGAGAGGAUUAGGUUGAUAUCCAGGGGAAAGACCAUAUGCCAAUUAAAAGGAAGAAGAAUGUGGUUCUAGAAGGUCCUUGAGAAAGCACAAAACAUAAAUAAAUGGCUUUGGGAUUCAUUGUCUUUUUUGCAAAGAUAGCACUAGUUGGAAUGGCUCCUCCAUACCAUCAAGAAGAGUGAUUUCCGCUAUAAUUUGAUUCUUUUGAAUGUCAACACAACCAAAGGUUUCUUCGUUCCAAGCUUUGAGGAUUUCUUUAAGGCCCUUCAACUUAACAAUAAAGCCAUGUCCCGGUCGCCCAAGCAAAGGAGUGUUCUUCCGCCAAUAAUCAACAAGGUCACCGAAAUCUUUGUGCAACAGCCACAUAUUUUCAAAGUGGAAAGGGGUGGGACCCCAUUUGUGACCAAUGGAUAGCAAGAUAGGGUAGUGGUCGGAUGUCGCUCUCCAAUCUCUUGGAUAUAGUGUAGGCAAAUUUCUGUUGAAUGCUUUCAGUUAUCAAAAAACAAUCUAUGAGUGUGAAGAUCGAGUAAUAUCUACGGGUCCAAAUCCAAUUGAUAUUUGGCGCAUGGAAAAGUCUGAUGAACGUUUGGCGGUCAAUGUGACUGAGGUUGCCUUGACCAGCUGUACGACAGAGCAGUAGAUACCAACAAGCAUUUUUCUUCUCCAAGGCGAACCAGGGUUACAUGGGAUCCGACACCCAAGGAGUCAGAAGUGAGCUUGGGCCCUUCUCUUAGUUUGUCUGACGCGAAAGGGAAAGGAAAGGCCCAUGUGCAGGAGUGUGAAUCUGAGCUUCUUAACAGACUGGCCUCGAAGGGCAUUAUUAUACUGAAGAAGACCCAUCCCACUGAAUCCAAUGAAUCCAAUAAAAAUAAAAGCUCCUUCCCUAAAGUCCAUAAGCCCAAAGGGAUUAAAUUUUCAAAUAAAUAUGAAGCCCAUACUUCUCUAAAUAAGGGUGUGAUCUGUUCCACGAACGUAAGGGAGACUUCUUCCUGAAAAAUGCAGAAUUGAAGAUCUACAAAAGUUGACCUCGAGCAAUCAUCGAAAAUUUCUCUCUCAGCCCAGGGAACUUGAUUUCUGAAAAUCAAUUUACUCCUCUGCUUGAGAAAAAUUCGGAGAUCCCAGACUUUCAGAUGGUCUUCCGCGAUGAUUUUGACUUGAGUUGAUGAAGGUGAAAAAAAUUUUGAUGCUUGACAAUCCAUCUCCUCUGCAUGAUCAAAACUUGAACUCAAUUGAAAUUAAGAGUGAAACUGAGCUCCAGUCAACUGUCUCCCCCUAAAAGACUGUUCCCCUUGAACAAGGAAGUGGUUGAAACUUUGUUAGAACAUAAUUUGUGUAUUCGUGCCAUCAUUUGAAAAGGAAAUGGGCACAGAAAAGGUGGGGCCUCAAAUAAAAACUAACCAGAGAAGUCAAAGCGCUGAUUAGCAGUUGGGAAAAGGAAGCGACAACGAUUAAAAAUAUUAGUUCUCAAGGCAUUAUUGUUUCUCCAUGUUAGUUCUCUCCUGGAAUGUUAGAGGUCUCAAUGCUCACCCCAAAAGAGCUUUGGUGAAGAAUUUGUUGGUUAAAUUCAAUCCGGAUGUUGUUAUUCUCUAAGAAUAAAAAAUUAGCGACAUUGAUAGAAAGAUGGUGAAGUCUAUAUGCAGUAGUCGUCAUAUAGGUUGGGUGGCUCUCAAUGCUAUUGGCUCAUCGGGAGGAAUUUUAAUUAUGUGGAAGGAAGAUUCUGUUACGAUGGUUGACUCUUUUCAAGAGAUUUUUGGUGUGUCGGAUGGGACUUCAAUGUCGUUAGAUGAGCUACUGAGAAGAGCUUGGGUGACCGUUCUACAAGAAGUAUGAAUCUGUUUAGCAACUUGAUAGAGGAGAUGGAGUUAGUCGAUAUUUCAUUUCGGAAUGGCUCUUUCUCGUGGUCCAGAUCAAGAAUUAGACCGGAAGCUUCAAAGAUUGACCGCUUUCUUCUCUCUAAACCGUGGCUAGAGUUUUUUAGAGAAGUCAAAGCUGACAAACUCCCACGUGUUACUUCAGAUCACUUCCCUAUUUUAUUAUCUUUAGGCGUGUAGUUGUGGGGUCUAACUCUAUUCAGAUUUGAAAAUGUUUGGCUUGAUCAUCACAUGUUUGGUAAGAAUUAAGAAGGUUGGUGGGCUAGCUUUAACGUUGAAGGAUGGUCGAACUAUGCUUUUAUGGAGAAGCUUAAAAUGGGAGGUGCUAAAAAGGUGGAAUAAGGAGGUCUUCGAAAAUAUCAUAACUCAAAAGAAAGCUUUGCUUGAGAAGAUUUGUUCUUUUGAUUCGAUGGAAGAUGCGGGUCCUCUCACUAAAGUUGAUACUAAGAAAGAGAGGAUUGUAAGGCUGCCCUCCUUGAGACUAUCAUUAAAGAACAGAGGAUCUAGGUCCAAAAAAGCAAAGUUCAUGGCUUUAAGAGGGUAAGGGAAACCCAAACUUCUUUCAUAGAUGGGUCUUGGCAAGAAAAAGUAAGAACUUAAUAUCGGUUUUAGAAAGUAAUGAUGGUCAGAUUCUUUUGACUGAAGACAAGAUUGUGAAUGAAAUUCUAUCUUUUUACACUACCCUUUAUAGUAUUAAAAUUCCCCAACCUUUCACCUUUGAAGGUGCUAACUGGGGGGCUCUUAGCCCUUACAACUCUUUAGCCUUGGAUGUUUUGUUUGAGGAACCUCAAAUCUCUGAGCCCAGAUGGUAUGACAGGUGAGUUUAAUAAAAAGUCUCCUGAAGCCCGAUUUAGCAGGGGUGUUCCAAGAUUUUUUUUAAAAAUGGUGUUAUCAAUAAAUGUCGCGAUGAGACGUACAUUUUCCUUAUCCCUAAGAAGAAGAAGGCCUCUCGGGUUAGUGACUUCAGACCUAUCAGUUUGGUGACCUCCCUGUACAAAAUCAUCUCCAAGGUGUUGGCUAAGAGACUAAAGAAAAUUCUGCCUUCAAUUGUGUAUGAUUCUCAGGCUGCCUUUGUGGAGGGGCAUCAAAUUCUCGAUGUUAUCUUAAUGGUUUCUGAAUCAGUGGCGAAAUAGAAGUCGUCUAGGAAAAAAGGUGCCCUCCUAAAGCUUGAUCUUGAGAAAGCGUAUCAUAAGGUUGAUUAAUUUUUUUUUUUUUUUUAUGCGGUUUUGAGGCUUAAGGGGUUCAGUAGAAAAUGGAUAAAGUGGAUUUGAGAGUGUCUUUCCUCGACUGACUUCUCUGUUCUUAUUAAUGGUAGACCAAGGAGUAAGAUUUAUGCCAAAAGGGGUUUGCAUCAGGGGGAUCCACUAGCUCCUUUUCUCUUCACGAUUGUGGGGGAUGCCCUUUGUAGCCUCAUUCACUUCUACAAUGAAAGGAAGUUUGUUAGAAGUUUCUCUUUUGGUUAAUAUGCACUCAGAUUUAACACAACUCCAGUAUGUUGUUCUUUUUUGCUCUUGGGAGAAUGGUAACCUCUCAGCAUGGUGGCUUGUUGUUGACUUGUUUCUUUUGGGAUCGCGGCUAUCUCUCAAUGUUACUAAAACUUCUAUCAUUGACAUCAACCUUGAUAGAGAGGAUGUGAAUCUUCACGCCACAAAGAUUGGAUGCAAAGUGGAGUCCUUCCCUUUUACGUACUUGGGCUUUCCUAUUGGAGGGAAGCAUAGUGCUAAGGAAGCUUAGAAGUUGCUUGAAGAGAGGCUCAAAGUUAAGGUGGACUGAGGAGAGGAAUUUCCCUCUCUAAAGAAGGUAGGUCUACUCUUAUUCCUUUCUAUUUAUUCUCCUUGAUGCAAGCUCCUAUUAACAUUAUCAACUGCCUUGAAAAGAUCAUUAGAGAUUUCGUUUGGGAUGGGGCCCAUGGGGGCCCUUGCAACCCUACCUCCUACCUUGUCACCUGGAAUUUGAUGUUUCUCCCAAUUACCUAUGGUGGCCUUGGAACUGGGUCACUUUGUUGGAAAAAAAAAAAAGAAGCUUUCCUUAUGAAAUGGCUUUGGAGGUUUUGCUAGGAAGAGAAUGCUCUAUGGAGACGUAAUAUUGGGGCUAUUUAUGGAGUAGAUGCUCACGGAUGGACUUCAGAGGCACCUAAGAAGGGAAGAAAAACUAGACUUUUGGCUGGCAUCUUAAAGCAUAAAGACCAGUGUUUUGAGUUUAUUUAUUAUAGGCAAUAAGAAAGUGAUCAGAUUUUGGGUGGACAAUUGGUGUGAUCGUCAACCCCUACCACAGAAAUUCUCCAAUAUCUUUACUUUAUCUUUGAAAAAAGAUGUUGUGAUAUAGGACUGCUGGUGUGCUUCCAGUCAAUCAUGGAAUCUGGACCUUAGAAGAAAUGUGUUUGAUAAAGAAUUGGGUGAUAUGGUGGCUAAUUCGGAAAUCUUAAACUCCUGGGCUGCCUCAGGUUGGUCGCAAUUGCCUCAAGUGGAAGGUUGACUCCUUAGGGAAGUUUACUACCAAAUCUACCUUUUUGAACGUCAUCAAAAGAAUCUCCUUCCCCAUCUUCCCUUUGGUAAAUCUUGUUUGGAAGCUUAAAAUCUCCCCUAAAAAAGUCAAAUUCUUCCUUUGGCCCUUGCUUAUAGAGGCUUAAAUACUCAUGAUAAGCUUCAAAGGACGUUUAAAAAUAUCCCUCUAGGCCCCUUUAUCUGCUGCUUUUGUUUGAAAGAUGAGGAAUCUCUUGAUCACUUAUUUCUCCAUUGUGAUUUUGCUAUUAAGGGGUGAACUCUUGUUUAGAACUUUUGGCUUGGAGCGUGGACUCCAAAACAAAGUUGAUGACUGGCUACUUGAUUGGCUUGAUUGUUUCUCCUUCGUGGGUAAAGGGAAAGUUCUUUUGAGGUGUGCUUCUCGGUCUCUUUUGUGGUGUCUCUGGAAGGAAAGGAAUUGUAGAGUUUUUAAAGAUAAGUAUACUUCUUUUGAUUCUUUUUGGACUGUUGUUCAACACACAACCUCUUGGUGGUGUACUAACCAUACCAAAUUCUUUUGUAAUUAUACUCUCCAUGAUUUUUAACAAUUGGAAGGCUCUUCUUAACUAGUGCUUUGGGGAGGGGUCUUCUUAUAAGUGAUUUUGAAUUAUUAUGUUUGGUUUCCAAAGUGACUUUAGAAUUAUCAAAUUAUAAAUAAUGACAUUUCCUAUUUGAGAAAUUAUUUUAAAAGGGCAAAAAAACUAUUCUUCAAAAUAAGGGGAAAUUCGGUAUUUCAAUAGAAGAAUACAAUGAAGGCAACUCUUUAACGGGAUCUCCAGUCAAUCAUCCACCAUGAAUCGCCUGGUAACUAAUUAUUGAAAACUCAGUUUUAAAUGUUUUUAGUUUUUUCUAAAAUCAAUUUCAACAUUUGUCAAACAUCAAUAUUUGAAAAGAAAGUAAUUUUUAUAACCAUUCUCAAACAUACACUAAUAUAAAGAUCUAAACUCUAGGACUGAGAGUGACUUUGGUAGGCAGCACAUCAAAACUCUUUGAAAAUUUCUAAGCACUCUCCUUUUACGAGAAUCACUUAAUUUGCUCUUCUUCCAAAAUUGUUUAGAGAAAUGCUUUCACAUAGUAACAAUUCUUUAUAAGCGUUUAUGAAGUCAUCCGUACAAGAACUUGGUGCAAUUAUGAUGUCGUUCAUUUGAUCACUACUUACUAAAGUGUAUGUGAUGGUUACUUGCAAUCUAAUCAGUUCUGUUUUGUAACAAUUGAUUGCCAAAAGACCAUUAAUGAUUUUUUUUCCAGGAUAAGAAACAAUUUCAUUAACAAAUGAAAUAAAAAAAGAAUUACAAAAAAAAAAAAAAAAAAAAAAAAAAAAAAAAAAA